GAUGGGGAGAGGAACUUGUUCCUCGAGUCGUUGAUUUCACACUGCCGAGAAAAGCCUCUAGCUAGAAUAACGGUGCCCGUACCGCAAACCGACACAGGUAGUCAAGAUGAGAAUUCUAAGGUGAGCGAGCGAACUCUCGUUAAGGAACUCGGCAAAAUGACCCCGUAACUUCGGGAGAAGGGGUGCUCUUUGAGGUUCACGCUUCGAAGAGCCGCAGUGAAUAGGCCCAAGCGACUGUUUAUCAAAAACACAGGUCUCUGCUAAACCGUAAGGUGACGUAUAGGGGCUGACGCCUGCCCGGUGCUGGAA
rnacentral:rRNA from 1 species